rnacentral:rRNA from 1 species
UACGUAGGGUGCGAGCGUUGUCCGGAAUUAUUGGGCGUAAAGAGCUCGUAGGCGGUCUGUCGCGUCGGUCGUGAAAACUUGGGGCUUAACCCUGAGCUUGCGGUCGAUACGGGCAUGACUGGAGUUCGGCAGGGGAGACUGGAAUUCCUGGUGUAGCGGUGAAAUGCGCAGAUAUCAGGAGGAACACCGGUGGCGAAGGCGGCAUCCUGGACCGAUAUUGACACUGAUGAGCGAAAGCCAGGGGAGCAAACGGG